rnacentral:rRNA from 1 species
UACGAAGGGGGCUAGCGUUGUUCGGAAUCACUGGGCGUAAAGGGCGCGUAGGCGGCCACCGCAAGUCGAUUGUGAAAUCUCCGGGCUUAACCCGGAAAGGUCAACCGAUACUGCGGGGCUAGAGUGCAGAAGGGGCAACUGGAAUUCUCGGUGUAGCGGUGAAAUGCGUAGAUAUCGAGAGGAACACCUGCGGCGAAGGCGGGUUGCUGGGCUGACACUGACGCUGAAGUGCGAAAGCUAGGGGAGCGAACGGG